rnacentral:rRNA from 1 species
AGAGUUUGAUCCUGGCUCAGGACGAACGCUGGCGGCGCGCCUAAUACAUGCAAGUCGAACGGAAUGGUUCUUCGGAAUCAUUCAGUGGCGGACGGGUGAGUAACGCGUGAGUAACCUGCCUUUCAGUGGGGGAUAACGGUUGGAAACGACCGAUAAUACCGCAUAACGUAUCGAGGUGACAUCACCAUGAUACCAAAGGAGCAAUUCGCUGAAAGAUGGACUCGCGUCCGAUUAGCCAGUUGGCGGGGUAACAGCCCACCAAAGCUACGAUCGGUAGCCGGACUGAGAGGUUGAACGGCCACAUUGGGACUGAGACACGGCCCAGACUCCUACGGGAGGCAGCAGUGGGGAAUAUUGCACAAUGGAGGAAACUCUGAUGCAGCGACGCCGCGUGAGGGAAGAAGGUUUUCGGAUUGUAAACCUCUGUCCCUGGUGACGAUAAUGACGGUAACCAGGGAGGAAGCCACGGCUAACUACGUGCCAGCAGCCGCGGUAAUACGUAGGUGGCAAGCGUUGUCCGGAAUUACUGGGUGUAAAGGGAGCGUAGGCGGGUACGCAAGUUGAAUGUUAAAGCUAUGGGCUCAACCCAUAGUCGCGUUCAAAACUGCGUAUCUUGAGUGAAGUAGAGGCAGGCGGAAUUCCUAGUGUAGCGGUGAAAUGCGUAAAUAUUAGGAGGAACACCAGUGGCGAAGGCGGUCUGCUGGGCUUUAACUGACGCUGAGGCUCGAAAGCGUGGGUAGCAAACAGGAUUAGAUACCCUGGUAGUC